rnacentral:rRNA from 1 species
AUUCACGCUGGCGGCGUGCAUAACACAUGCACGUCGCACGAUGAAACUUUAAUGAACCCUUCGGGGAGAAUUAAAGCGGAUUAGUGGCGAACGGGUGAGUAACGCGUGAGUAACCUGCCUUACACAAGGGGAUAGCCUUUGGAAACGAAGAAUAAUACCCUAUAAAACCAUAAAAGCACAUGCAAUUAUGGUCAAAGUGAUAGCGGUGUAAGAUGGACUUGCGUCUGAUUAGCUAGUUGGUGAGAUAAAAGCCCACCAAGGCAACGAUCAGUAGCCGGCUUGAGAGAGUGUACGGCCACAUUGGGACUGAGACACGGCCCAGACUCCUACGGGAGGCAGCAGUGGGGAAUUUUGCACAAUGGGGGAAACCCUGAUGCAGCGACGCCGCGUGAUUUAGAAGGCCUUCGGGUUGUAAAAAUCUUUUGUAUAGGAAGAAAAUGACAGUACUAUACGAAUAAGGUCCGGCUAAUUACGUG